rnacentral:rRNA from 1 species
GGACCCGCACAAGCGGUGGAUGAUGUGGUUUAAUUCGAUGCAACGCGAAAAACCUUACCUACCCUUGACAUGUCUGGAAUUGCGCAGAGAUGUGCAAGUGCCCGAAAGGGAGCCAGAACACAGGUGCUGCAUGGCUGUCGUCAGCUCGUGUCGUGAGAUGUUGGGUUAAGUCCCGCAACGAGCGCAACCCUUGCCAUUAGUUGCUACGAAAGGGCACUCUAAUGGGACUGCCGGUGACAAACCGGAGGAAGGUGGGGAUGACGUCAAGUCCUCAUGGCCCUUAUGGGUAGGGCUACACACGUCAUACAAUGGCUGGUACAGAGGGUUGCCAACCCGCGAGGGGGAGCUAAUCCCAUAAAACCAGUCGUAGUCCGGAUCGUAGUCUGCAACUCGACUGCGUGAAGUCGGAAUCGCUAGUAAUCGCGGAUCAGCAUGUCGCGGUGAAUACGUUCCCGGGUCUU